rnacentral:tRNA from 1 species
UGCCCUAUAGCCAAGCGGUAAGGCAGUGGACUCUGACUCCAUUACGCGUAAGUUCGAAUCUUACUAGGGCAGCCA